rnacentral:rRNA from 1 species
GACGAACGCUGGCGGCGUGCUUAACACAUGCAAGUCGAACGAAAAGAGGGAAAGAGCUUGCUCUUUCCGGAAUUGAGUGGCAAACGGGUGAGUAACACGUAAACAACCUGCCUUCAGGAUGGGGACAACAGACGGAAACGACUGCUAAUACCGAAUAAGUUCCAAGAGCCGCAUGGCCCAUGGAAGAAAAGGUGGCCUCUACCUGUAAGCUAUCGCCUGAAGAGGGGUUUGCGUCUGAUUAGCUGGUUGGAGGGGUAACGGCCCACCAAGGCGACGAUCAGUAGCCCGUCUGAGAGGAUGAACGGCCACACUGGAACUGAGACACGGUCCAGACUCCUACGGGAGGCAGCAGUGGGGAAUCUUCCGCAAUGGGCGAAAGCCUGACGGAGCAACGCCGCGUGAGUGAUGACGGCCUUCGGGUUGUAAAACUCUGUGAUCCGGGACGAAAAGGCAGAGUGCGAAGAACAAACUGCAUUGACGGUACCGGAAAAGCAAGCCACGGCUAACUACGUG